UCUAUAAUUGAACCACACAUACUUCUUCCUUAUUUGUCAGUAUAUAUUGUUUUAUCUAGUACUGUUAAAUAUUUAUUGUGUAUGUUUGUUUUUCAGCAGUCAGAUGUUUGUCGUCUGUUGCUACUGGUGUUGCUGUUGGUGUUUUACUCGGUGGAGCAACAGGUGCUUUUAUGAUGUACAUUUGUCUUACUAAAAGGAUGAACAGAAGAUCUGCUAUGAAGAAGUCUGCGGUCUCUGAUCCCAAUGAAGACACAUAUACUGCUCUUGAGCUCAAGUCCAUGACCUCUGACCUCUACGACACACUCACAACCGUUCAUCCCAGACCUCCUGAAGACUCUUGAUCCUAAACAUGAGAAUCCAUCAAUCAACAGAAGAUGCUGCAGUGAGAGGCGGAGCACAAAUGGACAAAUGUUGCGCUAUGUUGGCGGAGCCACAUAUGAUUGACAGGUGCCAUUAGUGAACAUGAGCCACUAAGACCUUUAUAACUUUAUAGUUUAUAGGAAAGAUGAUGUAAAAGUGAAAUUAAAUAAUUUGAAUGUAUAGAAAUAUAUAUGUUAAAGAAGCUCACUGUUUUAACAUUUUAAAAUAUAUUUUCCUGCAAUAUUUCAACUGCGCACCUUCACAAUGGAAAAUGUAUUGUUUUAUGGUGUCAAGGUGCUCAGUAUUAUCAGCUUCUGUUAUUCUGUCUUUUGUUUUUCUGUAACUUUCCCUUUAAGUGAUCAGUUUUAUUUGUGAUCAUCUCAUAUGUUUAUACAAACCUUCAAAUUACCACCAGAGGUCACCAUCUCCUGCUCCUGACAUCAACACUGACGUGCAUCAGCUGUAAAUCAUCAUCAUGCAUCUUCAUGUGUAUAAUAUUUUAUCAUGUACUGUGUUUAAAGUCAUUAAUAUGUUUGUAUUAUAAUUCCUAAUGCAUACGUUCAGCAUCUGCUUUGGUUUCUUCAAUCUCUGUUUGCUGUAAUAGCGGCUCUUUACGUCAUUAUUAUUUGUAAGUGUUUGCUUGUAUUUCCUACUGCAGGACUCAUUUUUAUUUCGAAAAUUUAAAUGACAUCUAAAUGCGUUAUUUGAAUAUCAGUUCUGAUUGGUCAGUUUUGUAAUGAGAGGAGUUAAUUCCAUCAGCUCUGGCAUUCCUGAAAUAAUUAAAACUCAUUUGAGCUACAGCAAAUGAAAGAAAAGUUAAAUAAAAUUACUCCUUUCUGCACUUUAGUAAGUAAAACCUUUGAUCAUCUGCUUGGAUGUAAUGUGGAAGUCCCCAGCUGCCGGGUCGUGACCUAGUAACAGGCCGUGAAAGAGUUGCUACUGGGCCACAAGAACGCUGCUAGUCUAUAUGCGAUCCCACUUGAAUUUUUAUUUUGCAUUUCCCCUUUAAGAGCCAAUAUCCACAUUUUCAUAAGGUGUGAUUUUAGAAAAACAUUGGUUCUACACUUUAAAGUUCAGCUAAUAUUAACAUGGGUGGGAAACAAACAUCUCUCCAAAGUUUCUUUAGUAGAGGAGGUGUGAAAAAAAGAUAAUGUUGGCAGAUCCAGCUAUUAUACUUGUCUUUUCCAUGUCAUUUGACACUUUAGAAAGUUAAUCAAGUGUGAAGUUGCAGUUUAGGGUUAGCGAUAUCUUUAUCUUAUAUAUUUACAAAAGAUUUUUUUUUUUUUCACAGUAAUAUCUGGCAACAUUGCAAUGAUGACAUUAAUCAAAAGAGCCCACGGACAGGUUAUUGCUUACAGGAUUCUUAACCUCACCCCAGACAUUACUAAGUUUCAUACUUUAAUUUUGACAGCAAAUUUUGAUUUAGUUUUAGUCAUAGUCUUUUGACUAAAAUGCCAUUUAGUUUUAGUCAUAUUUUAGUCAUCUAAAUUGUUUUUAAUUUCAGUCUAGUUAUGGUCGACUAAAUACCAUAAGAUUUUAGUCGACUAAAUCUACAGUAAAUUUAAUCGGCUAAAACCUAAUGGGUUUAGUUACAGUGCAUUUAUUAAGCAUUUUUCUAAAAUUUCCAAACUCAUUACAUGCGUUUGAUAUUAAGGUUUUAUCAUGAUAGACACCGAUUUAACUGCAGUGACACACAACAUGCCUUUGUUAAAAUUAAAUAAAACCACUUCUCAUAAAGAACAAGAACAUGAUCUUCUUUUUAAUGUAAUACCAAUGGUUACAUAGGCUAAAUAUUCUUCAUAGCAACUUGCUUACCAUAUUCUUCAUUCUUUCAAGCAGACAUGUUUAUUUCUGUUAAUAAAUUUAGAUUAAUCUUUGGGGCUACUAAGGUUUUCAGUCAAGAGCAGUGUGUGAUUUUCUGUCUUUCUUUUGUUUGCUUUAACUCACAG
rnacentral:lncRNA from 12 species